GUCUAGCAUGUCCACUCCAGCUAAUGAAUUUUACUUUAAUUCCCCGAGACUACGGUGAGCUACUUCGAAAUAUCCUUGACAGCUGACCCGUUUGUGUUGCAUAGCACUGGGAAAAUUUCCAAGUCUAGGUGAUAAGCCUACCGCACCAAGAGAUAGCUGGUUACUCGCUAAAAGAAUUUUAGUGUCUACCUCAGGUUUAUAAAAAAAAAUAAACCUUGGCUAAGCUUAAUAACUCUUCAAAUACGCCACAGCCUUAUUCAAAAAAGGCUACAUCCUAUUAUAUUUGAAUAAUUAAUUAAGAAAAACUGAUAAUGAGUGCCUAGCUGCAUGCACCUUUCAAAAAGCGUAAAAGCUUUACUCUUAUUCUUUAAAAUAGCUUUACCACUUUCCAACCAUUCAUAGACAUUGAAUCACUCCAUAAAAAAUAUGGUACGAUAUACUGAUUAAAACUACAAACAAGUAUUCUACCUUCUCCAAAAUGUAAGCCUAAGCCACCUUAGACACCGUAAUGGCAAUUAACGUUCAUGAGUCAAUUUUACUAACACCACAAGAAAACCCUAAAUACCCCAACGUUAAUCUUACACUAGAACAUUUAUAGAAAGACCAAAAGAAAAAGAAGGAACUCGGCAAAUAUAUACCCCGCCUGUUUACCAAAAACAUCGCCUCUUGCCUAAAUAUAAGAGGUCCAGCCUGCCCAGUGACAAAAUUUAACGGCCGCGGUACCCUAACCGUGCGAAGGUAGCAUAAUCACUUGUUCUUUAAAUAAGGACUUGUAUCAACGGCAUCACGAGGGUUAAGCUGUCUCCUUUUUCAUGUCAGUGAAACUAAUCUCUCCGUGAAGAAGCGGGGAUAAUUUUAUAAGACGAGAAGACCCCAUGGAGCUUUAAACUCAACUACACUCCGCUUAACUUUACUUUUAAACCUCUCGGAUCCUGUAUGUUCUGUUUUAGGUUGGGGUGACCGCGGAGCAUAAACUAGCCUCCACAAUGAAAUGAUUUUUCUCUUACCCAAGAUCUACACCUCUAAGAAUUAGCAUUCUAACAUAAAAUGAUCCGAUAUUCGAUCAACGAACCAAGUUACCCUGGGGAUAACAGCGCAAUCUACUUCAAGAGCCCCUAUCGACAAGUAGGUUUACGACCUCGAUGUUGGAUCAGGGUAUCCCAGUGGUGCAGCAGC
rnacentral:rRNA from 1 species